ACAAACAAACCACUGCUGCACCCCCAGCGUUGCACUUCAGUUAUGUAUUUUAAAAUAUAUAGACAUUUUUUAAUGUUUUGAGGAGAGAAGCACCUCACUGAUCCUGGGCGUCCCACCCAGGUUUUGCGCUGUCUAUAGGGGAACUAAUGCCAUGGCCGCUUGUCCUCAGCUCCGUUAACACAACACGGCCUCUCCCUGGGAGAAACCCCCAAAUUACACCCUUCCCUGCAAGCUGCUCGUUUACAGCUUCCUAAAUUAGGACGGCUAUGCCAUUACCGAGGGCACCGCGCUGCUGGGGGAAAGCUUUGUGCCAAGCGGGCCAUGCCCCUGAGCUGCCCUAAAAGCGGGGAUUUAACCCCAAAAUGGGAAACGUGCGGUGCUACUCGGAGGGUCGUGGGGGUGGGCAGGAAGCACCGCCGGAUGGAGCGGGGAGCACGCGGCACCACCGGAGGGAGGAAGUGAUGGAGCGUGGUGCUGCCCCUGCUCUCUCACCCCUUUCCCCAAAAGCAAAAAUAUGCUAUGGAAAAAAACAAACAAACAAACAAACAAAAAAAACCACCAACAACGAAGGGAUGGGACAGCACAUCCUCUCCGAUGCAGGAGGGAGCCAGCUGGGUUUGGAGAGGUCAGGAAGAAAGCACCGGGAAGCACACUGAGUGGCUUAAAAUACGUAUUUAAAAGUUGGAAAAGGGGAUGGAACCAAGGCCAGGCUCCUUUCGGGUUGCAAACUGGAGCUGAGCCCGUUGACCGUAAGGGUUCCUUCCUACGGGGUCCUCCCGCAGCAGGCUGCGCCGGAAGGAAGCGACUCGCUCCACCGCAAAGAAAGCUCAAAGAAAAGGCACCCACCAUCUCCUGCACCCAUCCCACUCCGGCAUCAGGGAGCCACCCAGCUGGCACGUGUCCUCCCGAAUGCCCCAGAGCUGAGCUGCACACGCGUUUGUCCUUCCUCUGUAACCAGACAAUCCACCUGAAGCACAUCAGCCCCACAGGGAAGACUCAGGAGCCUUCCCCAUUGGAGACCCGAAAUGCCCCGGCCCUGCAGCAGGCACUGACAGCACAGUGCAUAAAUAUUUACAGAAGCCCAGCAGGCCAAGGGAAAAGGGAGAAGGAGCUGUCGGUGUCACCAGGAAGGAGGGAAAGGAAUGUAAACGCAGCCUGGAGGCAGCCCGAAAAUGGUAAAGGCUGGGGAGCAGGGUGUGCCAGCAGCCCCAACACUAUGGAGCACUGAGGGCUUCCCCCCGCCUGUGGGAGCCUGAGCUUUGCAGGCCCCAGCAACUUAGGUUUGCAGUCUGGCCUCUGCUCUGCAGCGGACUUCAGGCAUCAGUUGGAAACGUGAACCCACAGUGAUGCCAUGCCCUGAUGCUAAACGUAUCUUCACACUGAGCCUGGGGCAAAAAUGCAUGUCACACCAGUUUGUGGAAUGGCUGGGAAUUUGCAGUUUCCUCAACAGUCGCACUGCUGUGGGGCACUGCUGCAAACUUCUGGAUGAGAUGGGGGACCCCAAAGCACCCCUCGCUCUCCUAAGGUUCAGAAAAGGAAGUGAAAGUGUGCAUUGGGCAGCUGUCUGCCUCUUUCCCUGCUCCAGAAAACCUUUUAUUCUCCUCCUGUGAGUUUUCCUUCCCUUGGCUGAACAGGGAGCCGGUGAAGGCCUCUGAAGCACCUUUCCACCACGUCUGUUCCAGCAUUGCACCUGGUUUUGGAAGCCACCAUCAGAAAAAGCACAUUUUGGAUCUUUCUGGAACAGCUUUUUGACACAGCGCCUCGUGGUUGUGCCAUCUGCCGGUACGUCCCCAGCGGGACUUUCCUUGGUAGCUCUCCAGCUACACAUUCAGGAACCUCCAUGCCCUGCAGAUGCUUCUGCCCUGCAAACAUCCUGCUUUAGAAGAGCAAUCACCACGUGGAUAAAUGGGGCUAAGGUCAAAGAAACCCCACACGUGUCACUGUCAUAGAACCAAGAUCUUUAUUGACCUCACUGUAACAGCAACCACCGGUGGGAGCUUUCCUCCGCCUGUGCAGGAGACAGGAAAACCAAAAAACCCACCGACAACCCUGAACAGCAGAGAAGCUGCCCCGAGACGCCGGGCACUCCUUGCUUUUCAGCCAGAAUCCCGUUUAAAACAAAACAAAGAGAAAAAUAAUCAGUAGAAAGUCGUAGAAAUGUCGUAGAAAGCUGUAGAAAGUUCGCUUUGUCCUUGAUUGUUUUUUUCUUGGCUCGCAGAGCAGCUGUCCCGCAAGGCACCGCGUGGCUGAUGGCCAUCACCUUCCCCACCGCCACACUGCGUCCCCCGGCUGCUCCGGGGCCGUGCCUGACCCCCGAGGGCCAACGUUUUAAGGAAAAAUAUAUUUCUCUCUAUAUAACAUAUAUAUCUGUGUGUGUGUCACAAGCACUCAGCUGCACGCGCAUCGUACUUCCACUCGCAUUCGCUUGCUCACAGCGUCCCAAAAAGCACCCGGCGAUGAAGCCCACCCCAAACCCCAUGGCACAGAUUGGGGUUUGAGGGAAGAGACGCUGCCGCUCGGCCCUCCCUUCUCCCCGUAUCGUGGUUGUCCCUCUUUUUAGUACCAAAAAGUGGAAAACUGAGGGCUCUGUGCCACGUACGGCCCCAUAGAAAUUGGGAGCCCAGGUGCCAGAGGGGUCUAAUCUGGACCCAAGAGUUUGCACUGCACGGAGAUGCCGGCACCUUCCCAGUGCCGUGGCUGCUGAAACUUCCCAGGGAAGGCCCAGGAUGGGAGCCCAGAAGGCAGCACCUCCAUUUCCAGGCACUGUUCCUUAAGACCAGUUAAGAGAAGGGGAUGGAGCGGGGCGAUGCGGCGAAAGACCAAAACAAAACAGGAGGGGAAAAAAAAACAAACAAACAACGGACCAAUAAACGGGGCAAUGGCGAAGGAGAGCGGCGGGCGCCCGGUCAGAUGUCCAUCUCGAACUGCGCGUCGUCCCCUGCAAGAGACACCAAGAGAGGCACGUGGGCAUCCCACGGCUCGGGGACGCCCGGGAGGGGCCGCCCGCUUACCGGCCGCUGGCUUGCCGUCCUGAUUGCUG
ensembl:lncRNA